ACAAGCCUGAGAAACGGCUAGUAGGACUAAGGUCUGCAGCAGGCGCGAAACUUACACAAUGCUAGAUUAAAAUUAGCGAUGUAGUUAAGAAAAAUAACGAUGUACUUCCAUUUAAACAUGGUAGUACAAUUGGAAUGAGACGACUCUAAACCAGUCAGUCGAGUAACAAAUGGAGGGCAAGUCUGGUGCCAGCAGCCGCGGUAAUUCCAGCUCCAUUAGCAUACAUUAAAGUUGUUGCGGUUAAAAAGCUCGUAGUUGAAUUUUAGGCGAGCUCUAUUGGGAUGCGUCCGUUAAGGGUUCACGUUAGUUAUCUCCGGAUGCUUCGUGCAAUCUGGUCGUAUUUUCCCUAUAGGAACUCGCUGUUUCGUCACUUAAUCCAGUGCGAAGCGGGCUGGAACAUGGACCAUCAACCGAUGGUCUUGUUACAGCAAGUUUACCUUGAGAAAAUUAGAGUGCUCACAGCAGGCAGUUGGGGUGUAAAAGCUCCUUUAUGCUUGAAUAAUGUUGCAUGGAAUAAUAGAAUAUGGCCUCGGUUCUAUUCUGUUGGUCUUAUAGAACAACAAAUAAGUCGGUUAAAGCGACCAAAAGUCCGUUUGCGAGUGUGGUUUCAAGCAUCUUGUUAUACGUCUAGUGGCUCUAACUGAAAUCUUAUCGGCGAUUCUGUUGCCUGGGGCCUUAAAAUCUCGGAGCCUGGUCCCUUUAUGUAUCUCAGCUAUCUGCUAGUGUUGGCUUGUCUGUUGGACUCCAUUAAAGCACUCCUUAUUGGGCUAGCUUUUAAUCAACUGAGGCAAUGGUUAAAAGAAAUAGUCGCGGCGGCAUCAGUACUGCAUCGUGAGAG
rnacentral:rRNA from 1 species